rnacentral:rRNA from 1 species
GUGCCAGCCGCCGCGGUAAUACCGGCAGCCCGAGUGAUGGCCGAUAUUAUUGGGCCUAAAGCGUCCGUAGCUGGCCGAACAAGUCCGUCGGGAAAUCCACGUGCUUAACGCGUGGGCGACCGGCGGAAACUGUUCGGCUUGGGGCCGGAGGACCCGAGGGGUACGUCUGGGGUAGGAGUGAAAUCCUGUAAUCCUGGACGGACCGCCGAUGGCGAAAGCACGUCGGGAAGACGGAUCCGACGGUGAGGGACGAAAGCCAGGGUCUCCAACCGGAUUAGAAACCCGGUUAGUCC